rnacentral:misc_RNA from 1 species
UUUCCGUAGGUGAACCUGCGGAAGGAUCAUUAUCAUGUAAUUCAGUCCCCUUGGCUGUGUUAUAUAUAUACCCACUCUGUGUACCUUCUCCUGUUGCUUCCGCUGGGUGUGUAAUUCGCCCGGCGGAAGGGUAAAAAUAACCUCUGAGUAUUGAUGAAAUCUCUGUCUGAACUGAAUAGAAAGAAAAAUGUUAAAACUUUCAGCAACGGAUCUCUUGGUUCUC